rnacentral:rRNA from 2 species
GACGAAGGGGGCUAGCGUUGUUCGGAAUUACUGGGCGUAAAGGGCGCGUAGGCGGUUUGUUAAGUCAGGCGUGAAAGCCCUGGGCUCAACCUGGGAUGUGCGUUUGAUACUGGCAAGCUUGAGUGCAGGAGAGGAUGGUGGAAUUCCCAGUGUAGAGGUGAAAUUCGUAGAUAUUGGGAAGAACACCGGUGGCGAAGGCGGCCAUCUGGACUGCAACUGACGCUGAGGCGCGAAAGCGUGGGGAGCAAAC